UACGAAGGGGGCUAGCGUUGUUCGGAAUUACUGGGCGUAAAGCGCACGUAGGCGGAUUGUUAAGUUAGGGGUGAAAUCCCAGGGCUCAACCCUGGAACUGCCUUUAAUACUGGCAAUCUCGAGUCCGAGAGAGGUGAGUGGAAUUCCCGGUGUAGUGGUGGAAUGCGUAGAUAUCGGGAGGAACACCAGUGGCGAAGGCGGUUGCCUGGAGCUUUGCUGACGCUGAUGCGCGAAAGCGUGGGGAGCGAGUCCGG
rnacentral:rRNA from 1 species